rnacentral:tRNA from 1 species
GGGGUUAUGGCUCAGUGGUAGAGCAUGCACUUGGUAUGCACCAGGUCCUGGGUUUAAUCCCCAGUACUUCUG